rnacentral:rRNA from 1 species
CCUACGGGGGGCUGCAGUGGGGAAUAUUGGACAAUGGGGGGAACCCUGAUCCAGCCAUGCCGCGUGUGUGAAGAAGGCCCUCGGGUUGUAAAGCACUUUCAGUGAGGAAGAACGCCUGGUGGUUAAUACCCAUCAGGACAGACAUCACUCACAGAAGAAGCACCGGCUAACUCCGUGCCAGCAGCCGCGGUAAUACGGAGGGUGCGAGCGUUAAUCGGAAUUACUGGGCGUAAAGCGCGCGUAGGUGGCUUGAUAAGCCUGUUGUGAAAGCCCCGGGCUCAACCUGGGAACGGCAUCCGGAACUGUCUAGCUAGAGUGCAGGAGAGGAAGGUAGAAUUCCCGGUGUAGCGGUGAAAUGCGUAGAGAUCGGGAGGAACACCAGUGGCGAAGGCGGCCUUCUGGACUGACACUGACACUGAGGUGCGAAAGCGUGGGUAGCAAACAGGAUUAGAUACCCGGGUAGUC